ACGAUAAAGCGGGUGAAAAGCCCGCUCGCCGUAAGCCCAAGGUUUCCUGCUCUACGUUCAUCGGAGCAGGGUGAGUCGGCCCCUAAGGCCAGGCUGAGAAGCGUAGCUGAUGGGAAGCAGAUUAAGAUUUCUGCACCGACAUUAAGUGCGAAGGGGGGACGGAGUUUUGAGCAUCAUCCGGGUGUUGGAUGUCCCGGUUUGUGCGUGUAGGAGGCCGGCAGGCAAAUCCGCCGGCGAAUCUCCGAGACAAAGCAUCGAGCUGCAUUUUGCAGUGAAGUGAUGGGAUGAACUUCCAGGAAAAGCCUCUAAGCAAUAGCUUAAUGUCGACCGUACCGUAAACCGACACAGGUGGGCGAGUUGAAUAUACUCAGGCGCUUGAGAGAACUCGGGAGAAGGAACUCGGCAAAUUGACACCGUAACUUCGGGAUAAGGUGUGCCUUUGUAGUGUGAAGAGUGAAACACUCCGAGCAUGAAGAGGUCACAGAGAAUAGGUGGCUGCAACUGUUUACUAAAAACACAGCACUCUGCAAAGACGAAAGUCGACGUAUAGGGUGUGAUGCCUGCCCGGUGCCGGAAGAUUAAGUGAUGGGGUGAGAGCUCCUGAUCGAAGUCCCGGUAAACGGCGGCCGUAACUAUAACGGUCCUAAGGUAGCGAAAUUCCUUGUCGGGUAAGUUCCGACCUGCACGAAUGGCAUAAUGAUGGCCACACUGUCUCCUCCCUGAGACUCAGUGAAGUUGAAAUGUUUGUGAUGAUGCAAUCUCCCCGCGGCUAGACGGAAAGACCCCAUGAACCUUUACUGCAGCUUUGCAUUGGACUUUGAACCGAUCUGUGUAGGAUAGGCGGGAGGCAGAGAACCGAGGACGCCAGUCUUUGGGGAGCCGACGUUGAAAUACCGCCCUGAUUUGUUUGAGGUUCUAACCGCGGACAGUAAACCUGUUCCGGGACCGUGCAUGGUAGGCAGUUUGACUGGGGCGGUCUCCUCCUAAAGGGUAACGGAGGAGUACAAAGGUACGCUAGGUACGGUCGGAAAUCGUGCUGAUAGUGCAAUGGCGCAAGCGUGCUUGACUGCGAGACCGACAAGUCGAGCAGAUGCGAAAGCAGGUCAUAGUGAUCCGGUGGCACUGAAUGGAAGGGCCAUCGCUCAACGGAUAA
rnacentral:rRNA from 1 species